rnacentral:tRNA from 1 species
AUUUGGGCAGCUCUAAGAGUAUUAUUUUGAAGCAAUAAAGGAAGAAUUAUUCUCCCAAAUA